UGGGGAAUAUUGCACAAUGGGCGCAAGCCUGAUGCAGCCAUGCCGCGUGUAUGAAGAAGGCCUUCGGGUUGUAAAGUACUUUCAGCGGGGAGGAAGGUGUUGUGGUUAAUAACCGCAGCAAUUGAUGUUACCCGCAGAAGAAGCACCGGCUAACUCCGUGCCAGCAGCCGCGGUAAUACGGAGGGUGCAAGCGUUAAUCGGAAUUACUGGGCGUAAAGCGCACGCAGGCGGUCUGUCAAGUCGGAUGUGAAAUCCCCGGGCUCAACCUGGGAACUGCAUUCGAAACUGGCAGGCUAGAGUCUUGUAGAGGGGGGUAGAAUUCCAGGUGUAGCGGUGAAAUGCGUAGAGAUCUGGAGGAAUACCGGUGGCGAAGGCGGCCCCCUGGACAAAGACUGACGCUCAGGUGCGAAAGCGUGGGGAGCAAACA
rnacentral:rRNA from 1 species